rnacentral:rRNA from 1 species
GAUGAACGCUGGCGGCGUGCUUAACACAUGCAAGUCGAACGAAGCACUUAAGAUUGAUUCUUCGGAUGACGUCUUUUGUGACUUAGUGGCGGACGGGUGAGUAGCGCGUGGGUAACCUGCCUCACACAGGGGGAUAACAGUUAGAAAUGACUGCUAAUACCGCAUAACCCGAUAGGAUCGCAUGAUCCAGACGGAAAAGAUUUAUCGGUGUGAGAUGGACCCGCGUCUGAUUAGCUAGUUGGUGAGGUAACGGCCCACCAAGGCGACGAUCAGUAGCCGGCCUGAGAGGGUGAACGGCCACAUUGGGACUGAGACACGGCCCAAACUCCUACGGGAGGCAGCAGUGGGGAAUAUUGCACAAUGGGGGAAACCCUGAUGCAGCGACGCCGCGUGAGUGAAGAAGUAUUUCGGUAUGUAAAGCUCUAUCAGCAGGGAAGAAAAUGACGGUACCUGACUAAGAAGCCCCGGCUAACUACGUG